ACGCGAGGAACCUUACCAGGUCUUGACAUCCCAUUGACCGCUAUGGAGACAUAGCUUUCCCUUUUAGGGACAGUGGUGACAGGUGGUGCAUGGUUGUCGUCAGCUCGUGUCGUGAGAUGUUGGGUUAAGUCCCGCAACGAGCGCAACCCUUGUUCUUAGUUGCCAUCAUUUAGUUGGGCACUCUAAGGAGACUGCCGGUGACAAACCGGAGGAAGGUGGGGAUGACGUCAAAUCAUCAUGCCCCUUAUGACCUGGGCUACACACGUGCUACAAUGGACGGUACAAACGGUUGCCAACCCGCGAGGGGGAGCUAAUCCGAUAAAACCGUUCUCAGUUCGGAUUGUAGGCUGCAACUCGCCUACAUGAAGCCGGAAUCGCUAGUAAUCGCGGAUCAGCAUGCCGCGGUGAAUACGUUCCCGGGCCUUGCACUCACCGCCCGU
rnacentral:rRNA from 1 species